GUAUAUGAGGAAAGGGACAUUCCGAUGCAUUGGUACUUCACUUAUCUCUUAACACUAGAGCUCUAUAUCUACUUUACACUAAUAGCAUUGGAUGGGGCUUCAUCGAGCAAACCCCUCAGGGUAGCUAAGGUGUUCUUCCCUGCAUCUCACAGCAGGCAUGGGGAAUUUGACAAGGAGUCUAAUCACUGAUCCCCUCAAUCUUCCAUCUCGAAAUAAAUGUACUUCGGAUGUUACGAACAAACUUUAGAAAAGAAGAUUCUUGCUCCUACUCUUGUACUAAUGACGAUGAAGAAAAGAUGCUUAAUGAAGAUGAAGCCUUAACUUCCUCUGUUAAAAU